CCGGUUACUGUGCAUAAGUCAUACUUAUGCACGGUGCAUAAGUCUCCUUCGUACACCCCCUCCUUCGUCAUACACCCCCCAUUCCAAAACCCAUCUCCAAACGGCCCAACUCCAGCCCUCUCCAAACUACACACAUCUCAUUAAUUGCAACGGUUAAACGAUUUUCAUCAUCAUCAACAUCAUAACUGUCAUCAACAUCAUAACUGUCAUCACCGUCGACAUCAUCAUCACCCUUGCCGGAAAUCAAAACUCAACAUCAUCACCGUCGUCGUCGCCAUUAACGCCUUCCAUCUUCAACGUCGCCGCCGUUCAUCAUCAGUUCAUCACAUUUCACAUCUUCACUGUCACCAUCAUUUGAACGAACCAAACACAAAAUGGUGAAAAGAAAACAGAUUGAUUGGCAACGAGCAGGAGAGCCUAUUGAUGAAACAUUGAUUAAUAAGGCAUUGACUUUCUACUUAGAGAUCGAAGAAAGCACAAGAAAAGAAGAACCAAAACACUUUGCAGAAACAAUGAUUAAAGAAAAUGCAGCAUUCUAUGCUAUGUCGAGGCUUCAAAUUUGAUAGCAAAUUUUGCUAUCUUUCAAUUGAAAGUAUAAAAUUGAUUACUACUUUAGUUUCCCUUAUACUAUGAUACUAGUGGAAUAUUGAAAGAUUAAAAAGGAUUGCUACUUUGUUUUUUUUUGUUACAAUUGCUACUUUACUUGAUUGUAUAUACUUGCUUGAUAGUCUUCUAUGAGAAACCAAAAUACUUGUCUAAUGGUUUUGUAAUAGAACAUUAUUAUUGUUAAAUGAUUUUAUAUAAAGAUUAUACACUGAAAC